GCUUAGCCCUAAACGCAGAUAAUUACAUAAACAAAAUUAUUUGCCAGAGUACUACCAGCAACAGCUUAAAACUCAAAGGGACUUGGCGGUGCUUUAUAUCCUUC
rnacentral:rRNA from 1 species